GUAAGAAGGAGACCUCUCCUAAUUCAUGGUGCAAAAUCUGGGGGGGAUGUUGUGCUUGUGAAGGCUGAAAGGAUACUAAUAUUCAGUUAAAGAUGUCAUAUGUACUGACCUUAUCCUAAUCUCUCAGCACUGCCCAGGUACCGCAUAUUUGCAAACCUGGAUCUGUGCUGUACUGCACUUCUCAGGCAUGACCCCACAGUGCUCAACUACGAGCUCACCAUCAAACACAUGAGAGCUGUCAUGUAAUCAGUGGGACGCAUGCAUGUGCAACCACUGACUUGAUGUGGGAGGCAGACGUAUAAGGACAUAUCUCAGCAGACACCCACUUCAGGGACUGAAUCUCACCACCUGAAAAGGAGCUCUUGGCUGCAAGAUUCACUUCAACAUCAGCAGCUUGACCCCUAAUGGGCUACUGAGCUUCGGGUCAUCGGUGACCAACAGUUGUCGGCGAUGUCCAUGAAGUGCGUUGGAGAUCUUAGCCCCAUGGGCGAUGAAGAGGCAUCUCGCCGUCCUGGCAGCCCCUGGCCCUGUGGGCGAUCAAGUCAGCGUGCACCACGGGACACACAGGGAUGAGCUGACUCUCACACCCAGUGUCUCCGGUGCGCGAUACAGGUGGCAUGUGCUGUACAUCCAGCCUCCGGGACCUUGCAAGGCUGACAAGGCAAUUAAAAAAUAUCCGGAGGAGCGCCUUGUUCAUUGAAAUCUUGAGUUAUAUAAAUAAAUAUAAUGGCUGAGCUCCCCGGCAGGUUGCAGAGAUAGCGAGGGUAAAGCGGCACUCUUUGCAGACAAUUAAAAUGUCUUCUCUCACAGCGUAAGGAACGGGAAGCCAAAGUCGAUUAUAACAAGAACUAUUUAAAUUACUGGCAAAACAAUGUGAUGUUUGCCCUUUGGAACGGCAGAUGGCUAAGUACUUUAUUUCAAUGGGGAUGAUAAGGCUGCGUUCUGAUAUUUAAAAGAUAAAAAUAUUUCUUUGUGUAAUAGGCCUAGCUUCUCAUUUAUGAAGCUCUCACUUCCCUAUCCUAAACAGUGUGGGGAAGUGUGGGGGUUUUUUUCCAUUAAAAGUUUGUUCUUUCAUUUCCCAUUCCUCCAGGAUGUGAUUUUUUUUUUCCCCCAGAGGAACACUUUUUAAACAGCAUUUUGCUCCCUCUUAUUUGACUAUUACCUGUAAAUGAGAUAAACAGAGGUUAAAUUAGUCGUGGAUGAAGUCAGCACGCUAAGCAUCUUAAAUAAUUGGGAUUUGCCGAUUGAGUUAAUGUCCUUGUAAAUUAUCCCACAGUAGAUAUGACUGUAAUUUCCAGAUGCAGUUUAAUUGUUUAUGCUAUAGAGGUUUUUCAGAGACGUAUUUAAAAAUGAAAGUUUCCUGUUAAGUAACAGCAAGAAUCUAUGAAUAAACAGACUGCUCUCGGAGCUUUUGAGACACCUUUGAGAUGACUCCCUUCCCUUUGAGGCAGCACCUACAGUGCCUGAAAACCAGAGGCAGAAAUG